GGGUCCGUAGCUCAGCUUGGAUAGAGCACAAGCGUCCUAAGUUUGGGGUCGGGGGUUCAAAUCCUCCCGGAUCCG
rnacentral:tRNA from 1 species